GACGAACGCUGGCGGCGUGCUUAACACAUGCAAGUCGAACGGAAAGGCCCUGCUUUUGUGGGGUGCUCGAGUGGCGAACGGGUGAGUAACACGUGAGUAACCUGCCCUUGACUUUGGGAUAACUUCAGGAAACUGGGGCUAAUACCGGAUAGGAGCUCCUGCUGCAUGGUGGGGGUUGGAAAGUUUCGGCGGUUGGGGAUGGACUCGCGGCUUAUCAGCUUGUUGGUGGGGUAGUGGCUUACCAAGGCUUUGACGGGUAGCCGGCCUGAGAGGGUGACCGGCCACAUUGGGACGGAGAUACGGCCCAGACGCCUACGGGAGGCAGCAGUGGGGAAUAUUGCACAAGGGGCGGAAGCCGGAUGCAGCAACGCCGCGUGGGGGAUGACGGCCUUCGGGUUGUAAACCGCUUUCGCCUGUGACGAAGCGUGAGUGACGGUAAUGGGUAAAGAAGCACCGGCUAACUACGG
rnacentral:rRNA from 1 species